rnacentral:rRNA from 1 species
GAUGAACGCUGGCGGCGUGCUUAACACAUGCAAGUCGAACGGAAAGGCUCCUGCUUGCAGGGGUACUCGAGUGGCGAACGGGUGAGUAACACGUGGGUGAUCUGCCCUGCACUUCGGGAUAAGCCUGGGAAACUGGGUCUAAUACCGGAUAGGACGAUGGUUUGGAUGCCAUUGUGGAAAGUUUUUCGGUGUGGGAUGAGCUCGCGGCCUAUCAGCUUGUUGGUGGGGUAAUGGUCUACAAAGGCGUCGACGGGUGGCCGGCCUGAGAGGGUGUACGGCCACAUUGGGACUGGGAUACGGCCCAGACUCCUACGGGGGGCAGCAGUGGGGAAUAUGGCACAAUGGGGGAAAGCCUGAUGCAGCGACGCCGCGUGGGGGAUGACGGCCUUCGGGUGGUAAACUCCUUUCGCUAGGGACGAAGCGCAAGUGACGGUACCUGGAGAAGAAGCACCGGCUAACUACGU